rnacentral:rRNA from 1 species
CAGGACAUAGCUAGUGAACACCCCGAGAGAUUUUUUGUGGGGGAAAUAGUGAGGGAAAAGAUUUUUCUUCAAUAUAGGCAGGAAAUUCCAUACGCAUGCCAGGUUAAUGUUACAAGUUACAAAAGCAGGCCUAGUGCCAAGGAUUUUAUUCAAGUUGAGAUACUUGUUGAGAGGGAAUCACAAAGAAGCAUUAUACUUGGGAAGGAUGGGAAAGCUAUAAAGACGUUGGCAACAGCAUCAAGGCUUGACAUUGAAGAUUUCCUUCAAAAGAAGGUUUAUCUUGAGAUAGAUGUGAAGGUGAAGGAAAACUGGCGGCAAGAUGAACGGCUUUUGAAACGUUACGGCUAUGGUGGGGAGAUUCAAGCGCUAUAA